AUCAGGUAGGCGCGGCGCGGACCGCAACACGCCAGCUUUCUUGCUCUUGUCUCUAAGCAGCAGCAGCUUCCUGUCUCUCCAGCCACCAUUCCAUUCUCGCUCCUUGGUAAUGAGGCUGGCUAGCCAGCUAAUGCAGCUCCGAACCUGUUUUGUUGGUGGUCAUUUAACCAUGCAUGCUUCGAUCGAUGGAUUGGUGCAUGCAUGGAUUAUUGCAUAGUGUGAUGCAUGUGGCGCAUCAGUGCAUGGUUAGAUGACCAUCAGCAAACAUGUUCUUGAGGCAUGCAAGUUCUCUAGCUACACAUAUCAGAGAUCGAUCACCACUGCGGCGCCAUGGCUACUUAAUUGAAAUGGAGGUUUGCAUUUCUCCGAACCCGGAUGUCGUGAUUCUGCUUCCGUUCUUGAUCCAGGAUCUUCCGGUCUUGUUCCCACCAUUACUUUCCUUAGGAAACUGGAAUGGUUUCAACCUUAAUUUGUUUAUGUGUGUGUGCACAUGCAGCGUGUGUUUCAUAUGGAGAUCGGUGCACUCACCUUGUAGCUUUAGCUUGCAUCCCCUUCGCUAACAGAGAGUAAGAUAUCUUAGUCCUCUCGCCAUCUCUCUCUAAACAUAUACGUAUCAUUUUGUUUCCGACGACUCUCCCAAUGAGUCGUUCGAUUCUCCUGCAGGAUCUGACGACGAAAGCGAUCAUCAAUCAUAUGCCACAUGCUAUAUUUCACAGGUUCUAUCUGGUUAAGUAAAGAUCUGGCGUGUGGCAGUGCUCAUUCUCAUGACGAUAUGCAGAUGCAGUGUAUAUCAAUCGUAUCCAAUCAGCAUGCAAGUGGUCUAAACAAUGUAACACCUAAAUGCUAUUUUCACCGUAUAUAAGUUUUCUCAAUAGUGAGCUUGCAACCCAUUACCCAUAUUUGAAUCUGGGUAUACGGUAUGGAUAAUGGUUUUAUUCAAUAGAAAUAUGUAGACUGCACUC